rnacentral:misc_RNA from 1 species
AAGUCGUAACAAGGUUUCCGUAGGUGAACCUGCGGAAGGAUCAUUAACACGUAUUCCAAUAAUACGUUUAUUUCCCUUUUCUUUUAAACCCCAAAACUGUAUCUUCUAAACUUAAUGUUGUAAAACAAAACAAAAAAACAACUCUUAACAACGGAUAUCUUGGUUCUC